UUUUCCAAAUCCCCAAACGGAGGAAAAGAAACUAACAAGGAUUCCCCUAGUAGCGGCGAGCGAAGCGGGAAGAGCUCAAAUUUAUAAUCUGGCACCUUCGGUGUCCGAGUUGUAAUCUCUAGAAAUGUUUUCCGCGUUGGACCGCACACAAGUCUGUUGGAAUACAGCGGCAUAGUGGUGAGACCCCCGUAUAUGGUGCGGACGCCCAGCGCUUUGUGAUACAUUUUCGAAGAGUCGAGUUGUUUGGGAAUGCAGCUCAAAUUGGGUGGUAAAUUCCAUCUAAAGCUAAAUAUUGGCGAGAGACCGAUAGCGAACAAGUACCGUGAGGGAAAGAUGAAAAGCACUUUGGAAAGAGAGUUAACAGUACGUGAAAUUGUUGGAAGGGAAACGCUUGAAGUCAGACUUGCUUGCCGAGCAAUCGGUUUGCAGGCCAGCAUCAGUUUUCCGGGAUGGAUAAUGGUAGAGAGAAGGUAGCAGUUUCGGCUGUGUUAUAGCUCUCUGCUGGAUACAUCUUGGGGGACUGAGGAACGCAGUGUGCCUUUGGCGGGGGUUUCGACCUCUCACACUAGGAUGCUGGGGAAAUCG
rnacentral:rRNA from 1 species